GCACCAAUGGUCUAGUGGUAGAAUAGUACCCUGCCACGUACAGACCUGGGUUCGAUUCCCGGCUGGUGCA
rfam:Morus notabilis contig15289, whole genome shotgun sequence.